UGAUGUGUUUUCUUGGUUUGCCAUUUUGAUCAUUUGUGUCAGGUUUACUUUGUCAUAAUCUCUAUGUAUUAAAACUCCUUAGUUUAUUCAUUUCAUUGUUACUAAUUGUUUUACUUAGUUUAGUUUCAUUUCAUUUUGCUUUGGUUUCUGUUGGUAUUGGCUACACCUUGGCUCCUUGUUAUAUUGGCUCUACUCUAGCCUGUCACUUGGGUCCCACAUCCAGACUCCACCUAACUGUGUCAUCCUCCUGGCUCCAUAAUGGACUUCCGAACCAUUGGCAAUGUAUGCAUCCUCCAAUGUUCAAACAGCUUCCCUAGGGUCCUUCAUCUGUCCAGCUUCUCCAUUAUCAUCCACUCGAAAUGGCAUCUUCUUGGUUUGCACAUCUUCCAACUGCACCUUGACCCUCAGAUCCACCAGCAUCACCUUGCUUCUCUAACAUUUGGGCUUCAUCUUGGUGUCUAGUGUUCCUGACUCCAUCUUCAAUUGUUGUCUCCCUGGCUAUGCAUUACUCUGCACCAAUUAAGGCUCCACAAUGGUUCUUCAUCUGUCUUGCUCCAUCAAGCAGCAUCAGACUGGUGCUCCAGAUCUCUGGCUCUCUCUUGGUCUUCAGCCUUCCUGAUUCCACCUUGGUCUUCCAUUUUCUCAACUUCACCGUGAUUUGCACUGCCUAAGUCUCCAAUUUUGGACUAUGCAGACACUACAUGUCAUCUGUCACCUUCUAGUUCUACCAGAAAGACUCAGGAGCUGACAUCCUGACUUUGCGUUUCCUGCCUGAAGAUGAAGGCAGGGGCAUAGCCGAUCCCUAAAAAAUAUGGACAGCAACCAUCCUAAUAAUGGAGGGCAGGAUGGAGGGGAAGGUUGGCGUUAGCAUCUGCAAACUCAGACAUGUCUUCACCUGGUUUGCACCACCUACUCCACCUUGAGUCUGCAUUUCUAUAGCUCCAUGAAGGACUAUGAGCACACGACAUAUCAUCUGUCAACAUCUACUUUGCAACACUAGACGGUGCCUGCAGACUUUAACUGUUUGGCACCAAUGUAGCCCUUUAUCUCUCAUACUCCACUAUUGUUGUCAUGUGUCCUAAUUCUGCCUUGGUGUUUCUUUUUGUGUUUCUGAACUGGUCUGGACUACUUAAGGAUCUUCUUUGUUUUGCAUUCUCUUUGGCUCCAUUAAGGCAUCUCACUGUUCCAUUUUGCUGUUGCGUAUUUUCUACUGUGUUAUCAUCUGUUUGUUUGUUUGUUUCUUUGUUUGCCUAUUAUGCUCUAUGUCUGGUUUAUUUCAUUGUUAUUACUAUAUAUUUAUUCUCUUUUUUGAUUCCUUAUCAAUGUAUGUAAUUAAUAAUACAUUUUUUUUAUAUUUUCUUUAUUAGUCUGUUUUCAUUCAUUGAAACAAUUUCUAAAUACAGAAGU